ensembl:lncRNA
GCAGAGGAGUUGAAGGGAGGAUGGAUCUUUGGAGAGGAAUGCCCCCAGAGGUCUCUUAGGACAGCUCUCCCCUUGUGGCCCCUGUCUUUGGCAGGGGGACACCUCUCUGUUUGCUGCUUCAGCCUCACCUAUAGAGACCACAGACAAAGCAGGAGCUGCCAGCCCAUAGGUGACCUCCAACAGCCACACAGCAGGAGGAGGAAUGCUGUCUGUGAUCUCCUGGUGGAGAACUGAAGGAUGGGACCACCAGCAGUGUGGCACCCAAAUGAAGGACCCAUGUUUCCCAGUACAAGAGGCUGAAAACUGCUUUGCCCAGCCCAAAUCUGCUGUAUGUGGAGGCUUGGUUCAACCACUCACACCUGGGUUGGGAUGAACAAGACCUUAAAAGCCACAAUGAAAGCAUCAACUACACAAACCAUUACUCAGAGGAGCAUCUUUCCAACUGCUGGACUUGGACUGAACAGCUUGUGGUUAAUUUGCUAUAUAAUCACUGCCUGCAACAGGAAAGCAAGCGCUUCAACUGUGCUAAUAUUAUGAAAGGGGAAGUUAACCAUAGAGAUAAAUUCUGAGGAGCUGCAGCUGGGAUGAAAGAGGGAAAUAAAUGUAGCUGGAGUCCUGGCUUCGUGCUUGCGAAAGUGGCCGCUUGGAUAUUUAAAGGGAUAAAAGAUAAGGG